UCGCACUAGACGGGGAGGUAGCGGUGCCCUGUACCCGCAAUCCGCUGUAGCGGGGUUGAAUUCCUGUCUGAGGUGCGUUUCAUGUGGGGUCAGGUCUGUGUAAGUGGUGUUGAGAGCUGGGUCCUGCGCAACGGGAACCCAUGAACCUGGUCAGGUCCGGAAGGAAGCAGCCAUAAGUGGAUCCUUCCGUGUGCCGCAGGGCAGCCUAGCUUGAGCUAACUGCACGGGGCCGCCCGGAUGAGCGUAUCGACGACAGGUGUGCGG
rfam:Aneurinibacillus migulanus strain DSM 2895 super9, whole genome shotgun sequence.